UUCGGAGAAUCGAUAACCAUUUCGAUCUGGCAAUCACCCGAACUGGGUGAUUCUCGAAUUUUCGGUUCUUCGAACCGUAAAUAACCGCGCCCCGAGUGGUAGUCACGUUUAUUGGGCCUAAAGCGUCCGUAGCUGGUUUGGUAAGUCUCUGGUGAAAUCCGUUAGUAGACUAACGGACGGGCUGGAGAUACUACCAGGCUCGAGACCGGGAGAGGCUGAGGGUAUUCCACGGGUAAGAGUAAAAU
rnacentral:rRNA from 1 species